rnacentral:lncRNA from 1 species
GAUAGCUGAUACCGCAGACUUCUGUAGUCUCUGAUAUUACCACACUGUUUUGGUUUCGGAUUUUGGCUUUAUUGUGUAGGUUGUUUCGUUACUUACUAAGACCAUGAUGUAGUUCGAGAGGCUAAAUACGUAGAUAUAGAUCUGGAAGCUUAUCUUUUGAUUUUUAACUUAGAUCAAUUACAUUUUUAAGGUGUGAAGGGGUAUAUAAGCUGACCAGAUGCAAGGUAGUUUAUCAUGAGAAAUAGUCACCUCCUUGAUUACAUGGGUGUGUCAUUUGACUUUUUUGAGAUAUUUACUUGAUAUUAUAUCUAUAUUUUGUGAUAUUGCAAUUUCACUGCCAUUCAGGCCAGAAAGUUUAAUUUUUUUAUCAUACAUGUGAUAAUGGCAGAGAUGAUUAGAUCCAAAUGCUUGACGGCAUUUGCUAAUGUAAACAGAUUUCUUUUCAGCCUCAUUCACUAUGUAUUAUAUCCAGGUUCCUUUGGUGAGUAAUGGAAAUAACACUGCAGCUCAUCUGAAUAAAAUGCAUCAAGAGCAAUGAAAGGGGCAUGGAGCCAAGGAGCCAUGGAUAUGCAAAGACUGGCUGGCUAAGGGGUUAAAGUUCUUUGAGAUAUAUUGAUGGGUGAACAAAGUUAGACAUCCUCAAUCAUGUGAAUGUUUCCUGAAAAGUUUUAUAGAGACACAGAAAAUAUUCCUUAAAUUAGUUAUUUUUUCAUUGUGGGUGAUGUAACAGAACAUUUAAAGACAGUUAUAUAUAAUAUUCCGUUUUUUUAGCGAUGGGAGUGGUAACUGUAAUGGGUCGAUUCGCAUGAUUCUCCAAUAGGAUCUACUUCGAUCCUAAGUCUUAACUCGGGAUACCGGACGGUGGGUAUAUCCAUCAAAUUGAUCCAGCAGAACGAAGUGCCUUAAGAAAGGUCGGAAAAGGUCGGAAAAGUUAGGCGGUUGCUUUCUACAGCAUAUGAAACGGCAGCGUGAUCAACUUGUAGCCAUCCUCAGUCCUCACAGUUUCACUGAUUGAUUAGAGAGUAAAUCCGGGCUCUCGGUCAGUGUAGAAAAGGCGGUACGUGAAGUUUUCACCAACCUCGGAACUUGCAGAAGAAGAGGCAGCUUGUCUUCUACCAAGAAGUUACACACUAGUCACCUUUCCGUGCGAUUUGAAAGUAUUAUGGCAUUAAGAAAUUAUUGAAUAUUUGUAGGAAAUUUAGUUUGUUAGAGCCGCUGAACUGUAGAAAAACGUUUUGUGCGCUUAUAAUGUCUUCCUGUCAUCCUGCAUUUUUGGUCAUUUGACUUCGUUAACACUUGGGACAAAAUAAUUUAACUGAAAUACCUAUUACUGUUCGAGCUGGAUGAAAUGUUUUGAUGACUUCAGAUCAUUAUGUAUCCCGGACCAGUUUUUAACUAUUUUCAUAAACAUCUGCAUGACUUUUGUUCCGACGAAAACUUUUAUUUCCCCUUUUCUAUCAAACUGCCUCCUUUCUAGGGUGUUUUAUAGACUUUCUCGAUUCGAUUCUUAUAUAUUUACUUUUGAAAUUUGAGAUUGAGUAUUAUUCCUUUAGUUUCACUCCCUGCUUUGUCCAUGUUUUCUCCUUAUCCUUCAUAGAAGAAGAUUCACUUAUACCUUUCAAUUUUUAACAAUUAAUGUGUACAUAUCCUCCCCUCUCUUUUUUGUGUGUGUUCCGUGUGCGUAUUUUUUUCGUCAGGACUGGAGAGAUUGCAAGUUGUGAUGAGGGAAUGUGCUGUCUUAAGAAGUUUUAAAAAAGAAAACGAGUUCCAGGAAGGAUUUAAAUGUGUGUAACCCCUUCACACUCGUUUUUCUCCGGCGUGUUGGAGUAAACGAUGGAUAAACUAA